rnacentral:rRNA from 1 species
GACGAACGCUGGCGGCGUGCUUAACACAUGCAAGUCGAACGGAAAGGCCCUGCUUUUGUGGGGUGCUCGAGUGGCGAACGGGUGAGUAACACGUGAGUAACCUGCCCUUGACUUUGGGAUAACUUCAGGAAACUGGGGCUAAUACCGGAUAGGAGCUCCUGCUGCAUGGUGGGGGUUGGAAAGUUUCGGCGGUUGGGGAUGGACUCGCGGCUUAUCAGCUUGUUGGUGGGGUAGUGGCUUACCAAGGCUUUGACGGGUAGCCGGCCUGAGAGGGUGACCGGCCCAGUUGGGACGGGGAUCCGGCCCGACCUCCUCGGGGGGGAAGAGGGGGGGAAUUUUGAAAAAGGGGGGGAGGCCGGAGGCAGCAACGCCGGGGGGGGGAUGAGGGCCUUGGGGUUGAAAACCCUUUUCCCCGGGGAGGAGGGGGGGGGAACGGAAAUGGGAAAAAAAGCACCGGUUAACUAGGG